rnacentral:rRNA from 1 species
GAUGAACGCUGGCGGCGUGCUUAACACAUGCAAGUCGAACGGAAAGGCUCCUGCUUGCUGGGGUACUCGAGUGGCGAACGGGUGAGUAACACGUGGGUGAUCUGCCCUGCACUUCGGGAUAAGCCUGGGAAACUGGGUCUAAUACCGGAUAGGACGAUGGUUUGGAUGCCAUUGUGGAAAGUUUUUCGGUGUGGGAUGAGCUCGCGGCCUAUCAGCUUGUUGGUGGGGUAAUGGCCUACCAAGGCGUCGACGGGUAGCCGGCCUGAGAGGGUGUACGGCCACAUUGGGACUGAGAGACGGCCCAGACUCCUACGGGAGGCAGCAGUGGGGAAUAUUGCACAAUGGGCGCAAGCCUGAUGCAGCGACGCCGCGUGGGGGAUGACGGCCUUCGGGUUGUAAACUCCUUUCGCUAGGGACGAAGCGCAAGUGACGGUACCUGGAGAAGAAGCACCGGCUAACUACGUG